GACGAACGCUGGCGGCGUGCUUAACACAUGCCAGUCGAACGGAAAGGCCCUGCUUUUGUGGGGUGCUCGAGUGUCGAACGGGUGAGUAACACGUGAGUAACCUGCCCUUGACUUUGGGAUAACUUCAGGAAACUGGGGCUAAUACCGGAUAGGAGCUCCUGCUGCAUGGUGUGGGUUGGAAAGUUUCGGCGGUUGGGGAUGGACUCGCGGCUUAUCAGCUUGUUGGUGGGGUAGUGGCUUACCAAGGCUUUGACGGGUAGCCGGCCUGAGAGGGUGUCCGGCCACAGUGGGACUGAGGUAAGGCCCAGACUCAUACGGGAGGCAGCAGUGGGGAAUAUUGCACAAUGGGCGGAAGCCUGAUGCAGCAACGCCGCGUGCGGGAUGACGGCCUUCGGGUUGUAAACCGCUUUCGCCUGUGACGAAGCGUGAGUGACGGUAAUGGGUAAAGAAGCACCGGCUAACUACGUG
rnacentral:rRNA from 1 species